rnacentral:rRNA from 1 species
AGAUCGGUAGCCGGCCUGAGAGGGCACACGGCCACACUGGCACUGAAACACGGGCCAGACUCCUACGGGAGGCAGCAGUGGGGAAUCUUGCACAAUGGGGGAAACCCUGAUGCAGCGACGCCGCGUGAGCGAUGAAGCCCUUCGGGGCGUAAAGCUCUUUCGGCAGGGAAGAUUAUGACGGUACCUGCAGAAGCAGCUGCGGCUAACUACGUGCCAGCAGCCGCGGUAAUACGUAGGCAGCGAGCGUUGUUCGGAGUUACUGGGCGUAAAGGGUGUGUAGGCGGCUUUUUAAGUUUGGUGUGAAAUCUCCCGGCUCAACUGGGAGGGUGCGCCGAAUACUGAAAGGCUAGAGUGCGGGAGAGGAGAGUGGAAUUCCUGGUGUAGCGGUGAAAUGCGUAGAUAUCAGGAGAAACACCGGCGGUGUAGACGGCUCUCUGGACCGUAACUGACGCUGAGACACGAAAGCGUGGGUAGCAAACAGGAUUAGAUACCCUGGUAGUCCACGCCCUAAACGAUGCACAUUUGGUGUGGGUCAUUCAGUUGAUCCGUGCCGGAGCUAACGCGUUAAAUGUGCCGCCUGGGGAGUACAGUCGCAAGGCUG